rnacentral:rRNA from 1 species
CCUACGGGUGGCAGCAGUGGGGAAUAUUGGACAAUGGGGGGAACCCUGAUCCAGCCAUGCCGCGUGUGUGAAGAAGGCCCUCGGGUUGUAAAGCACUUUCAGUGAGGAAGAACGCCUUGUGGUUAAUACCCAUCAGGAAAGACAUCACUCACAGAAGAAGCACCGGCUAACUCCGUGCCAGCAGCCGCGGUAAUACGGAGGGUGCGAGCGUUAAUCGGAAUUACUGGGCGUAAAGCGCGCGUAGGUGGCUUGAUAAGCCGGUUGUGAAAGCCCCGGGCUCAACCUGGGAACGGCAUCCGGAACUGUCAAGCUAGAGUGCAGGAGAGGAAGGUAGAAUUCCCGGUGUAGCGGUGAAAUGCGUAGAGAUCGGGAGGAAUACCAGUGGCGAAGGCGGCCUUCUGGACUGACACUGACACUGAGGUGCGAAAGCGUGGGUAGCAAACAGGAUUAGAUACCCCGGUAGUC